rnacentral:lncRNA from 1 species
CGGACUGGUCCCCUGAGGAUGGCUCUGUUCCACUGCCUGGGCUCCAUGCUGCCAGCCAUGUAAGUAAGGCUGAUUUAUAGGCUCCUGGAUCUGCCUUGAGGACAUUUAUAAAUCUCUCAUCUUGCUCUGGCUUUUAUAAACAUGUAAAGAUGACAGCACACAUUUCCAGGGUGAUAACAAUGGGAGAAACUGUCUCUGCAAUUGCCUACCCAGAGCCUGCUGUACAUCUCAAAGCCACCUGUGUGUGGAACCAUGCGGAUGCUUCCCAUGGACAGAAGAUGCUCUUAAGGGCUUUAUACAAAUCAGUGACUGGAUCAAAACUUUCAUUUUAAAGGAAAUUUAAGGACCAAUUUCAGUUGCAAGAGACUGUUUUGCUUUAAAUAAGCCUAGAAUGGGUGUUACUACCAUGUGGAUUUUAAAAUCCCUACACUGAAACAAUUCCUACUUGCAGCCAACUAUUCUUGUUGCCCCAGAUUCUGGGUCAUGUGACAUCUCUGCAUCGCCACCGGCGUGGAAGGACUGGGUAACCAGCCAGCUGGAGAUGGUUAAUAAGAAGGCACUGGAGUGAUGGAAAGUUCCCUGGAAAUCACCUGCUUCCUGUGUCACCUCCCAGAUGGAGAAGGAUAUUCAUCAAACCUAAUUUUGGAUAAAAGUGACAUGAAACCAACAAUCAAGAAAGCUGCUGCUGAGAAGAAAGAUGCAGGACUCAGCAUAGAACCACACAGCUCUUCACAGCUUUACACAAGGCUCUGCCUCACACCCCACAGAAAGCCACUGUCCCUGCUGGAUAACCCUACCUGGGGACAACUCUCCCAGGGAGCUCAGAUUCACUGCCCAGGAGCCUGUUGGGAAGGACGGUGGGCAGGUGUGAUGCUCAGCCAGGAGGGAGCCUGUUGUGCAGGCAAAACACAGCCUUUGAGACGCUGA